rnacentral:rRNA from 1 species
CCUACGGGAGGCAGCAGUGGGGAAUAUUGCACAAUGGGCGCAAGCCUGAUGCAGCGACGCCGCGUGCGGGAUGACGGCCUUCGGGUUGUAAACCGCUUUUGACUGGGAGCAAGCCCUUCGGGGUGAGUGUACCUUUCGAAUAAGCACCGGCUAACUACGUGCCAGCAGCCGCGGUAAUACGUAGGGUGCAAGCGUUAUCCGGAAUUAUUGGGCGUAAAGGGCUCGUAGGCGGUUCGUCGCGUCCGGUGUGAAAGUCCAUCGCUUAACGGUGGAUCCGCGCCGGGUACGGGCGGGCUUGAGUGCGGUAGGGGAGACUGGAAUUCCCGGUGUAACGGUGGAAUGUGUAGAUAUCGGGAAGAACACCAAUGGCGAAGGCAGGUCUCUGGGCCGUCACUGACGCUGAGGAGCGAAAGCGUGGGGAGCGAACAGGAUUAGAUACCCUGGUAGUCCACGCCGUAAACGGUGGAUGCUGGAUGUGGGGCCCGUUCCACGGGUUCCGUGUCGGAGCUAACGCGUUAAGCAUCCCGCCUGGGGAGUACGGCCGCAAGGCUAAAACUCAAAGAAAUUGACGGGGGCCCGCACAAGCGGCGGAGCAUGCGGAUUAAUUCGAUGCAACGCGAAGAACCUUACCUGGGCUUGACAUGUUCCCGACAGCCGUAGAGAUAUGGCCUCCCUUCGGGGCGGGUUCACAGGUGGUGCAUGGUCGUCGUCAGCUCGUGUCGUGAGAUGUUGGGUUAAGUCCCGCAACGAGCGCAACCCUCGCCCUGUGUUGCCAGCACGUCGUGGUGGGAACUCACGGGGGACCGCCGGGGUCAACUCGGAGGAAGGUGGGGAUGACGUCAGAUCAUCAUGCCCCUUACGUCCAGGGCUUCACGCAUGCUACAAUGGCCGGUACAACGGGAUGCGACACCGCGAGGUGGAGCGGAUCCCUUAAAACCGGUCUCAGUUCGGAUUGGAGUCUGCAACCCGACUCCAUGAAGGCGGAGUCGCUAGUAAUCGCGGAUCAGCAACGCCGCGGUGAAUGCGUUCCCGGGCCUUGUACACACCGCCCGUCAAGUCAUGAAAGUGGGUAGCACCCGAAGCCGGUGGCCCAACCUUUUUGGGGGGAGCCGUCUAAGGUGAGACUCGUGAUUGGGACUAAGUCGUAACAAGGUAGCCGUACCGGAAGGUGCGGCUG